rnacentral:rRNA from 1 species
ACGCUCGACACCUACGGGAGGCGGCAGUGGGGAAUAUUGCACAAUGGGGGAAACCCUGAUGCAGCGACGCCGCGUGAGCGAAGAAGUAUUUCGGUAUGUAAAGCUCUAUCAGCAGGGAAGAAACUGACGGUACCUGACUAAGAAGCACCGGCUAAAUACGUGCCAGCAGUCGCGGUAAUCUGAGCGGGCUGGCAAGGC